GCAAGUCGAACGGGAAACCUUUUAUUGAAGCUUCGGCAGAUUUAAUUUGUUUCUAGUGGCGGACGGGUGAGUAACGCGUGGGUAACCUGCCCUAUACAGGGGGAUAACAACCAGAAAUGGUUGCUAAUACCGCAUAAGCGCACAGGACCGCAUGGUCCGGUGUGAAAAACUCCGGUGGUAUAGGAUGGACCCGCGUUGGAUUAGCCAGUUGGCAGGGUAACGGCCUACCAAAGCGACGAUCCAUAGCCGGCCUGAGAGGGUGAACGGCCACAUUGGGACUGAGACACGGCCCAGACUCCUACGGGAGGCAGCAGUGGGGAAUAUUGCACAAUGGGGGAAACCCUGAUGCAGCGACGCCGCGUGAAGGAAGAAGUAUCUCGGUAUGUAAACUUCUAUCAGCAGGGAAGAUAGUGACGGUACCUGACUAAGAAGCCCCGGCUAACUACGUGCCAGCAGCCGCGGUAAUACGUAGGGGGCAAGCGUUAUCCGGAUUUACUGGGUGUAAAGGGAGCG
rnacentral:rRNA from 1 species